GAUAUAAACUCAAUAUUUUAAAUGGAAAAAUUAUCCUUUUUAUUCCUCUUCAUUUAUUUCCAUUUUUUCUCUCUCGUUGUCGUCUGUGUUAGAAAAGAGAUUCGGAUGUGAGAGUCGUAAGGUUUCCUAUACUUCAUGCAGUGUUUAUAAGAGGCGGUUGCAUUGAUAUAGCUUGGAUUAACAUGAGAAAUUUGGAUAUGACAAUGAACUUCAGGCAUUACAGGUAUAGGACAAUGUGGGAGAAAUUUAUUACAUAUUUUGCCUAUUGUGAUUUCGCAGUUGUUGAUGGGGAAAAACGAUUCGCUGGUUUUUUAGGGAAUGGAGUGACGACCGUGUAACGGAGGCUCCUUCAACCGAGCGAACUGCUUAACCUCAAACAGAUGCACUGCACGGAAGUGCUUUGAGUUUGAGAGAUCAAUCUGUAGGACUCCGGCCUAAACCAAGUCAAUGGUCGUUCCAGAGUCAAUUCGGUCACAAAGAGGGAAGAGGGUUGAUCUGUAGGAGGGAGGCUAAGAAGUGUGUGAGAUCAAUGAUGAUCAAGGAUUGUGAAUGUGUUGUGGGUUUCUGCAAGUUUUCUGAGAACUGUUGAGUUCAAAUAAGUUCUGGUUGAUUGAUGAAUUCUUGAGAGUGAUUACUCGAAAACUUAUCAUGUUUCAAUCAUGGAUUCAGAUACUUAUUUAUA